rnacentral:rRNA from 1 species
GACGAACGCUGGCGGCGUGCUUAACACAUGCAAGUCGAACGGUAAGGCCCUUCGGGGUACACGAGUGGCGAACGGGUGAGCAACACGUGGGUGAUCUGCCCUGCACUUCGGGAUAAGCCUGGGAAACUGGGUCUAAUACCGGAUAGGACCACUGCCUGCAUGGGUGGUGGUGGAAAGCUUUUGCGGUGUGGGAUGGGCCCGCGGCCUAUCAGCUUGCUGGUGGGGUGAUGGCCUACCAAGGCGACGACGGGUAGCCGGCCUGAGAGGGUGACCGGCCACACUGGGACUGAGAUACGGCACAGACUCCUACGGGAGGCAGCAGUGGGGAAUAUUGCACAAUGGGCGCAAGCCUGAUGCAGCGACGCCGCGUGAGGGAUGACGGCCUUCGGGUUGUAAACCUCUUUCAGCACCGACGAAGCGCAAGUGACGGUAGGUGCAGAAGAAGGACCGGCCAACUACGUGCCAGCAGCCGCAGUAA